rnacentral:rRNA from 1 species
AGAGUUUGAUCAUGGCUCAGAACGAACGCUGGCGGCGUGGAUAAGACAUGCAAGUCGAGCGCUGAUUUCACUGUAGCAAUACAGUGAAGUUGGAGCGGCGCAAGGGUGCGUAACACGUGGGUAAUUUGCCGUAGAGUUGGGGAUAACUCGCUGAAAGGCGAGCUAAUACCGAAUGUGGUUUUUGGAAGGCAUCUUCUGACAACUGAAGCUGGGGACCGCAAGGCCUGGCGCUCUAUGAUAAGCCCGCGGCCUAUCAGCUAGUUGGUGAGGUAACGGCUCACCAAGGCUAAGACGGGUAGCUGGUCUGAGAGGACGACCAGCCACACUGGAACUGAGACACGGUCCAGACACCUACGGGUGGCAGCAGUCGAGAAUUUUUCUCAAUGGGCGCAAGCCUGAAGGAGCGACGCCGCGUGGGGGAUGAAGGGUUUCGAUCCGUAAACCCCUGUCAUUUGUGAACAAUGGUUGCGAUUGAAUAUUUCGUAACUUGAUAGUAAUGAAAGAGGAAGGGACGGCUAACUCUGUGCCAGCAGCCGCGGUAAUACAGAGGUCCCGAGCGUUGUUCGGAUUCACUGGGCGUAAAGGGUGCGUAGGUGGCCUAAAAAGUUUGAUGUGAAAGCUCAGGGCUUAACCCUGAAAUGGCAUUGAAUACUGUUGGGCUGGAGGUUUGGAGGGGGGACUGGAAUUCUUGGUGUAGCAGUGAAAUGCGUAGAUAUCAAGAGGAACACCAGUGGCGAAGGCGAGUCCCUGGACAACACCUGACACUGAGGCACGAAAGCUAGGGGAGCAAACAGGAUUAGAUACCCUAGUAGUCC